rnacentral:rRNA from 1 species
CUACGGGGCGCUGCAGUGAGGAAUAUUGCACAAUGGGGGGAACCCUGAUGCAGCAACGCCGCGUGGAGGAUGACGCAUUUCGGUGUGUAAACUCCUUUUAUAUGUCAAGAAAAUGACGGUAGCAUAUGAAUAAGCACCGGCUAACUCCGUGCCAGCAGCCGCGGUAAUACGGAGGGUGCAAGCGUUACUCGGAAUCACUGGGCGUAAAGAACGCGUAGGCGGGUUGGAAAGUCAGGUGUGAAAUCCUACAGCUUAACUAUAGAACUGCACUUGAAACUUCGAAUCUAGAGUAUGGGAGGGGGAGAUGGAAUUAGUGGUGUAGGGGUAAAAUCCGUAGAUAUCACUAGGAAUACCUAAAGCGAAGGCGAUCUCCUGGAACAUUACUGACGCUAAGGCGCGAAAGCGUGGGGAGCAAACAGGAUUAGAUACCCUAGUAGUC